rnacentral:rRNA from 1 species
GUUAUAAUUUAGGGGUAAAGCACUGUUACGUAUGCGGGCUGGUAAUUCGGUACCAAAUCGUUGCAAACUAAGAAUACUAAAUGUACAGUUCACCAGUAAGACUGUGGGGGAUAAGCUCCAUUGUCAAGAGGGAAACAGCCCAGAGCACCAGUUAAGGCCCUUAAAUAAUUACUAAGUGGUAAAGGAGGUGGGAGUGCAUAAACAAUCAGGAGGUUUGCUUAGAAGCAGCAAUCCUUUAAAGAGUGCGUAAUAGCUCACUGAUCGAGUAAACCUGCGCCGAAAAUGUAUGGGACUAAGUAAUUUGCCGAAACUGUGCGAUAUAUAUUUAUAUAUCGGUAGGGGAGCGUUCUGUUGUAGGUCGAAGUAUUAGCGUAAGCGGAUAUGGACGAAGCAGAAGUGAGAAUGUCGGCUUGAGUAACGAAAAUAUAGGUGAGAAUCCUAUACCCCGAAAACCCAAGGUUUCCUCCGGAAGGCUCGUCCGCGGAGGGUAAGUCAGGACCUAAGGCGAGGCUGAAAAGCGUAGUCGAUGGACAACGGGUUAAUAUUCCCGUACCGUUUUUUAUUGAUAUCGAGGGACGGAGAAGGCUAAGCUAGCCGGAUAUUGGUUUUACCGGUUUAAACUUUCGAGAUGUAGAGAAGUGGUGAAAACACUUUGAGUUAAGACGUGAAUACGAGGCACUAAGGUGCUGAAGUAGUGUAUGUCAUACUUCCAAGAAAAGCUUGCACUAUCGUAAGAUAAAAAUGCCUGUACCAUAACCGACACAGGUGGGUAGGUAGAGUAUACUAAGGGGCGCGAGAUAACUCUCUCUAAGGAACUCGGCAAAAUGACUCCGUAACUUCGGGAGAAGGAGUGCCUUAUUUAUAAGGUUGCAAUAACAAGAUCCAAGCAACUGUUUACCAAAAACACAGGUCUCCGCUAAGUCGUAAGACGAUGUAUGGGGGCUGACGCCUGCCCAGUGCCAGAAGGUUAAAGAAGUCGGUUAGCAUUAGCGAAGCUGGUAACUGAAGCCCUGGUGAACGGCGGCCGUAACUAUAACGGUCCUAAGGUAGCGAAAUUCCUUGUCGGGUAAGUUCCGACCCGCACGAAAGGCGUAAUGAUUUGGAUACUGUCUCGGAGAGGGGCUCGGUGAAAUAGACUUGUCUGUGAAGAUGCGGACUACCUGCACCAGGACAGAAAGACCCUAUGAAGCUUUACUGUAACUUGAAAUUGAAAUUGGACUUUAGUCGCGCAGUAUAGGUGGGAGGCGUUGAAAAUAAUCUUGCGGGAAUAUUGGAGCCAUCAGUGAGAUACCACUCUUGUAAUGUUAGAUUUCUAACUUUGAAUCAUUAUCUGGUCAAAGAACAGUUUCAGGCGGGCAGUUUGACUGGGGCGGUCGCCUCCCAAAUGGUAACGGAGGCGUACAAAGGUUUCCUCUGAACGGGUAGAAAUCGUAUCUAGAGUGUAAAGGCAUAAGGAAGCUUGACUGUGAGACCUACAAGUCGAGCAGGGACGAAAGUCGGUCUUAGUGAUCUGACGGUACUGAGUGGAAAGGCCGUCACUCAACGGAUAAAAGUUACUCUAGGGAUAACAGGCUGAUCUCCCCCAAGAGUUCACAUCGACGGGGAGGUUUGGCACCUCGAUGUCGGCUCAUCGCAUCCUGGGGCGGUAGUACGUCCCAAGGGUUGGGCUGUUCGCCCAUGAAAGCGGUACGCGAGCUGGGUUCAGAACGUCGUGAGACAGUUCGGUCCAUAUCCGGUGUAGGCGUUAGAAUAUUGAGAGGAGCCUUCUUUAGUACGAGAGGACCGAGAAGGACAUACCUCUGGUGUACCAGUUAUCGUGCCAACGGUAAACGCUGGGUAGCUAUGUAUGGAGUGGAUAACCGCUGAAAGCAUCUAAGUGGGAAGCCCACCUCAAGAUAAGUAUUCUCAUCACGUAAGUGAGUAAGGUCACGGUAAGACUAACCGUUUGAUAGGCAUUAAGUGUAAGUACAGUAAUGUAUGUGCUGAGAUGUCCUAACAGACCGAGGACUUGAAUUU